UUGAAGCAGAAUUUACCUAUGUAAGUUCUAAGUAUACAGAUAUGCUUUAUCAGUUUGAGAAUUUAUGGAGAAUUAGCCACUCCAUGUAAGAGGCUGCUUUUUUUCUGAUGACCUCUUCAUUUGGGCCAGCUCCAGUGUUAUAAAAAGCUUACACUCUGUUAGAGUAACAUAAGAAAUAAGAAAGAUUGGGGAUAGCGGAAAUUGAAACAGGCAUUCUUUUUUCUUCUGAAGACAGAAGUGAAGCGAUUGCCCAUGUUUGUUGAAUUUUAUUACAGUGAAAGCAGAGAUUUCUCCACACUUUCGGUCUCAGCCUUUGUCCAGCCUCACUAUGCAGUGUAUGCAUCACCUUCUGAACUAAAGAAGCAGUUCACACUUGACCUAGAACUUCAAGUUACCUGUGACCACUACUUAUAAAAAUCUUACUACUGGAUAUGCCAAAAGAAUUUCAUUGGUUGAAGAGAGAUAACAUGAAAUGGAAAGCCCAGAUCUCCAGAAAGAAAUGAAGAGAACCAGAAAAGAAAAAUGUGAAACUCCUGACCAAGCCCUCCCAGAAAGAACCACAAAAACAAAACAAAAAGCCCAAGAAGAUACAAAAGCGAAUCCUGAUAACGUAACUUUUUCUCAUAUAAGCUUGUGGGAUCUUAGUUCCCUGACCAGGGACGGAACCCAGGCCCUCAGCAGUGAAAGCACAGAGUCCUAACCACUGGACCACCAGGGAAUUCCUGUGACCAACUGCUCACUUUUAAAAGCAACGGAGGGGCUUCCCUGGGGGCGCAGUGGUUGAGAGUCCGCCUGCCGAUUCAGGGGACGUGGGUUCGUGCCCCGGUCCAGGAGGAUCCCACAUGCCGCGGAGCGGCUGCACCCAUGAGCCAUGGCCGCUGAGCUUGCACGCACAUUCGGAGCCACACAAAAAAACGAAGUUCAUAAUAAAUUGCAUCAGUAAAUCUGGAUUCAAGCCACUGCUCUCUGCCAUCAUCUUAAAAGUCACGGAGGACAACUGUACAUAAGAGGAGGGCAUGAUCAUGGGCGCACUGUGCUGGGACUCCCUGCAGCAGCUGCAGCCUCGGCUGGGACAGGAGAUGAGGCAGACGACUGUUAACGACUGUGACACCAGAGUCCCUUUCUGCAGCGCCCUUCUGGCUGAGUGUGAGGUCUCACAGGAAGGCACGUCUACCUGGACUUGAAUGGAGCUCUCUCCAUUGGCAGUCACAGGAGUCACAGAACCUCUAUCAGGAGGUUCUUGACACCGAGGUGGACAGAGAAAGGCCGCCCCUCUCGACUCCACCUAAAGUAGGCAUCAUAGAGAUCUUUCCCAAAACUCUAUUAUACUUUCAGUUAAAAUUGUGAUGUGAUCAAAAGAGGGUUGUGGGGAGGUAAAUUAGAAUAUCCACCAAAUAUCCAAAUAUGAUAUUUACAAUAUAAUGUCAUUGCUAUUCUCAUCCAACAUUUUUGAAUAGUCUUAAGGAAUAGGUAAUAAUAAUAUCAUAUGGCAUGCACUACAUUUAACCAUAGCUCUAUAAAGAUUUCUCCUUCUUCCUAAUUGUCUAGGUCAAGGCCAAAAUUUUAAAUUUCUGAUCUGCAUUGUGAGUGGUAUUGAAAGCAAUACUCUUGUGGACAGGAGGGAAUACAGAAUUUGAGGGGCCCAGUGCAAAAUGGAAACAUGGAGCACCUUGUUGAAAAAUGUCUUAACAAUUGGAAGACAAUGACAACAGAGCAUUAAACCAAGCUCAGGGCUCCUCUGCACGGGGCCCUGCAAGACGGCACAGGUGGGACAACCAUGAAGCCAGCCUCGCUCUGAAACAGGACCUUACGAAAGAUAGCCUGCUGCCCCCUCCUCCCUUCUCCUCAGCCUAACAGAGGUCUCAGUCAAGUAAACCAUGGGAGAAUGAACGUGAGAUGUCCUCCGGUAGACAGACACCAGUUCUAUGUACUGAGGUCCCGAGGAAAAUGGAGCAACAAAGUGUCCUCUAAAAACUACCAUUUACUUCCUUAUACAGAUUGUAUUGUAAGGCUUAUCGAAAAGUGUUCCAUCUUCUUCCUAGAGGGUUCCACAAAGCAAGGUUUUCUGUCCAAAGGCCAGCAUGACCCUGGUGAUGGGCUCUGUUUUAAUGGGGCCUGGAGGACUAGUUUUGGAUACAGAUAAAUGGUAGCACUGUCUCCUGGCAAUCUGAUCCUCAGUGACAUAUUUUUUCUUUCUCUGUAUUUUUUUCCUUUUAAAAUCACUUCCUGUUUAAACCCCUUCCCUCUCGUCAGUCGUGCACCAGCGUUGGAUUUGACCUCAAAUUCUAAAUGGGCCAGGUUGCCGUGAAGGCGCUCCACCUGGCGUUCUGCAGUGUAGGUGAUUAGGAAGGCUGGGGAAGCACUGUUUAGGGGGUGCCCUUCUAAGGACAGCUGUGCUCUGUCAGGUCUAGGUUCAGUGAACGAGACAAUAGUAAUUACAGUAAUGGCAGCAUCUGCCUAUGAGCUACCAUCUCUCCGAAGUGGGCUUCAGCUAAACUCAGCUGGAGGAGUUGUCUUUCCUUCUAGGAAUGUGGAACCUCUACAGAGUUGGUCUUCAGAGAGUUAGAACAGGCUAUAGAGGCAAGCAAAGAGAAACAGAAAAGGACCCCUUUAUUUCUCCCCCAAAAUACAUAUAAAUAUUUUUGUAAGGUAUUUACAAAUUUAAGAGAAAAACUAUACUUACAACAAAAUUAUCUUGUAAAGUCUGAGUUUUUCUGAGCUAUAGGUUACUUUUUAGGAUCAAACAAUACAGAAAGAACUGUUCAAACGUAUAAGCUUAUCCUGAUUUUCGGUCGUUCAGAAAAGGGCUCGAAGAUUAUAAUAUUACCUACUCUCAGUAAAAGAGUAUAUCCCCCCCCCCGUUUUUUUUUUCCCCUGGUAGUGAAUUUGUAGGGAUAAACAACCCUACAAAUUUGGGGGCCUAUUAUAUGUCACAGAGAUUUUUUUCUAUAGCCUGUCUAGACUCCAGACAAUAGGUGAGACUGGCCUAGAGUUGCAGACAUUUCCAUAGUCUGUAAUGUCCCUUAGAAAAGUAAGGGCAAUAAUACUAAAAUGAAAACCAGCCUGAUCUGCUGGUACGAUAGGAGAAAUAUGAGUAUGACAACACUUUACAACUUAGAAAUGAUGACAACAACCUAGGAAGAAGUUUUAGCAGCCAUAUAUCAGCCAAAGCAACUUCUACAAAAUCAUACAUACUCCCCCAGUAUGAGUCAUAUUCAAGUAAUGUUGUCCAACGGCUAUAAAAUCACCUUAUUGCAGAAAAUUCUGUAUAUAUGUUAUGUUGUAUUUUCUUAUUGCCUAGAGGUGGUGUGUGUGAAUGUAUAUUACAUAUAUAUGAAUAUAUGACCACAAAUUAUUUGUGGUCAGCAUACAGAUUUUUCAAAAUGCCUUACUUUAAAUAAACCAGAUUGUUAGACUAUUCUGCUUUCCAGCCCUCUUGGAUAAAACAAUUAAUGUUGCAUAUAAUCUUAAGAGAAUUAAGGGACGUUAUGUAUAAGUAAGGGAAGUGGAGAAAAGAGUUUUUAAAUUUCAUCUAUUUUCUACCAUUUCGUCUCUGAGCAUGUCUCCACAUACCUAUUUUCUCUCCUACAAUUGUACUUGUUCUAAACAAAGGAGAGGAGGAGAGAAACCUUUUGUUUCUUUAUAUUCUCCUUCUUUGCUAC